CCAUGAUCAACCUCUCUGUGAUUCUGUGAGAAAAAAACUCAAAAGGGGACAAUUACAGAGGAGGGAUAACUAAUCAAGCUCAUCAGUGUUAUGUGGUUCAUCUGUGAUAGAGUGAAGAUGAGAACCCAGACUACAGAGAUUUGGUAUCCCACCAGGGGAGGUGGGGAAAAAAGAAAAAUUCUGCCAAAACUGGGAAUUGAAGUGAGCCUUGUGAAAAACAUGAAGUGCCUUGAUCUCCAGCCCACCCUCAUCCUUAUGUUUGCCAUUUAUAGCCAAGACUACUAUUUUACCAUCUUCAUCAACUUUUCUCAAUGACAGACCUCCCACCUAUAAUAAUGACCUUAAUAUCAAGAGCAGAAUGAUCCCAUUGGGAACAGCAUGUGGGUAGUAUAGCCAAGACAGCGCUCAGAGACGUUAAACAAUAUGGCUUCUGUCCAGACUCUGUUGAAGAAAUGGCAGCACUCCCAUUGAUUUCGGCAGGAUCAGGAUUUCACGGCUGUUGUGUGAAAGAGUUUUCCCAACACUCGGUAUCUGCAGAUUUAAUUUAUGAUACAACUUUAAAAACUGCAUCAAAAAUAUUAGGAUCCUAUGACUGUUGGCUCAGAAAAGGUGUUUAAAAAUAGCUUUAAACUUAAUUGAAGACAAGAUGAGUCUCCCUUGUCUCUUCAUUCAGGGUCAAAAGGCAUGAAUUUCAUUCACUAAAUUAUCAACACUUAAAACUUUUUCUGCAUGAUUAGACUAUUACUAAGAGUCAGGACAGCAGAGAUCCUCCCACUGCAUUGACCUGUGAACUUUGUUAAAUCUUCUGACAGGGGUCAUUGUCUAUAGCAUGAUAGUGAAUGACUUUUCAAAAGGGAGCCAUUCUUUCAGUUGUAACAUGAAGCUGGUGCUGUUUUCUAAUGGGUUGAAAAUGUUAAUUUACUUUGAUGACAUUUCUUGUCAAUUUAUGUGUCAUCUGAAUUUGCUGAUUAGUCACAAAAGAUGAUGUAUUGCUUAUGGACAGUUAUUAUUUUACCUUUAGAAAACAAAACAAAACAAACAAACAAACAAACAAAAAACCUUCAGGUACUUCAAAUACUUCCAUGAUUAGAAAUCACUUCUUCCCUUCCAUGUUUCCUUCCUUUCUUCUGUGACAUACAUUUCAAAUUACCUGUAAGUAUUUUGCAAUUCUGAUGGAAUAGAAUGUGUUGGCAAACAUAUAUGAAAUUGAACCUCUUUCAGAAUACAAGCUUCUUCUGUAAAAUAUGUAUCAAGUUACUGUCCUUCAAAUUAACCUUCCUGAAAAUACUUCUUUUCAGUGACACAUGCAG
rnacentral:lncRNA from 1 species